rnacentral:rRNA from 1 species
GUAGGUGGCAAGCGUUGUCCGGAAUUAUUGGGCGUAAGGCGCGCGCAGGCGGUCCUUUAAGUCUGAUGUGAAAGCCCACGGCUCAACCGUGGAGGGUCAUUGGAAACUGGGGGACUUGAGUACAGAAGAGGAAAGCGGAAUUCCAAGUGUAGCGGUGAAAUGCGUAGAGAUUUGGAGGAACACCAGUGGCGAAGGCGGCUUUCUGGUCUGUAACUGACGCUGAGGCGCGAAAGCGUGGGGAGCAAACAGGAUUAGAUACCCUGGUAGUCCACGCCGUAAACGAUGAGUGCUAAGUGUUAGGGGGUUUCCCGCCCCCCUUAGUGCUGCAGCUAACGCAUUAAGCACUCCGCCUGGGGAGUACGGCCGCAAGGCUG